CUACGGGGCGCUCCAGUCGAGAAUCUUUCACAAUGGGCGAAAGCCUGAUGGAGCGACGCCGCGUGGGGGAUGAAGGGCUUCGGUCCGUAAACCCCUGUCAUUCGUGAACAAACCUCCGAUCUUAAUAGGUUCGGAGCUGAUAGUAGCGAAAGAGGAAGGGACGGCUAACUCUGUGCCAGCAGCCGCGGUAAUACAGAGGUCCCAAGCGUUGUUCGGAUUCACUGGGCGUAAAGGGUGCGUAGGUGGCGGGGUAAGUUUGAUGUGAAAUCUCCGAGCUCAACUCGGAAAUUGCAUUGAGUACUAUUCUGCUCGAGGGUCGGAUGGGAGACUGGAAUUCUCGGUGUAGCAGUGAAAUGCGUAGAUAUCGAGAGGAACACCAGUGGCGAAGGCGAGUCUCUGGACGACUCCUGACACUGAGGCACGAAAGCUAGGGGAGCAAACAGGAUUAGAUACCCCAGUAGUC
rnacentral:rRNA from 1 species